rnacentral:lncRNA from 1 species
AUGUAUUUACCAGUUUAAUUCCGUGCCACAUAAACCAAAGGAACAUAUGGGCUGCAGUACUUUUGUUUGUGUCCAUAAGAGAAAUGUGUGGUGCCAAUUUUUUUUCAUAGCUGUUAACGUUGUUUAAUCUCAUCGUAACCAUGAAACAUAUGGGAACCGACCGAAAAGCAAACCAAACAUAUGGGGAGCAGAUGAGGGAAGAUGUGAAACAUAUGGGAAAUCGAGUUUCUU